GCCGAGCUGGUGGAAUUGGUAGACACAAGGGACUUAAAAUCCCUCGGCUGUUUUAAGCUGUGCCGGUCCGAGUCCGGUGCUCGGCA
rnacentral:tRNA from 1 species